ensembl:miRNA MIR200A microRNA 200a
GGGCCUCUGUGGGCAUCUUACCGGACAGUGCUGGAUUUUCGCUCACUCUAACACUGUCUGGUAACGAUGUUCAAAGGUGGCCCAC